rnacentral:rRNA from 1 species
UACGUAGGGUGCGAGCGUUAAUCGGAAUUACAGGGCGUAAAGCGUGCGUAGGCGGUUCUCCAAGUCCGUUGUGAAAGCCCCGGGCUCAACCUGGGAAUGGCAGUGGAAACUAGGGGACUGGAAUCUGGCAGAGGGGGGUGGAAUGCCGCGUGUAGCAGUGAAAUGCGUAGAGAUGCGGCGGAACACCGAUGGCGAAGGCAGCCCCCUGGGCUGAGAUUGACGCUCAGGCACGAAAGCGUGGGGAGCAAACAGG